GCACGGCCUCGGCCGGGCUGUGCUGGGCUGCGGGCGUGGAGGGAGGCUGUUGUACGGGCCCGGGAGACAAAGGGCUCGUUCCGCGGCCGAGGUGUUGGAAACGCGCCUGCUUAGGUAUCCUUUGGAUGGUGCUUCUACAGAAGCUAGGGAAAGGCAAACACAUUAUAAGAAUGAACAAACAGGAAAAUAUAACUACACUCUUAAUACCUACACAACAUCCUCUGGAACAGUGAUGUAACCUGCGCAGGAUAAACCCAGCUGUUGCAUGGAGGACUGUCUUUCAUUUCAAAUUUGGCUAAUUUUUUGUGCUGUUUACUCUGAACUCUUUAAAUAAACAAUUAAUAACA